UACAAAGCGGUAUGGAUACUGUGACGCAACAGGUUUCCCCAAGUUGUUUAAGUUGGUUAUAAAGUUGUGAAAAGGGUUUGUAUCGUAACCCCCACAAGGUACAAGAUAACGACGUUAUGAUACAUUUAAGAAAUGCGACGAAUUUAAGGAUGUUUUCCUUCUUCUGCAACAAGCAGUCAGUGAGAGGUCGUAAGAGAUGAAUAUGGGGAUGAGAGAGGCAGCCAUGCAGCCAGAGGGAGUGCAUCUUUGCCAGCAGUAUUUAGCUGAACUUCUGCAAGUGAGGAUAUCAGUCGGCUACAGUAGCGUCACAAAAGGAGUCAUUGCAGGCAUAUAUUUAUUUGAUUGUUUGCAAAAAUCACCUUUCAUGAAUUCAGGCCCCUUCCCCUCAAACAUCCUCUGCAUGUCCCUGUGGGGGAUAAUUAUUUGGCCAGAUGGAGAGAGUCAGGUUGGGAAUUCCCCAGAACACUGUGGAAUCCCCCUACUCUUUGCGAUAAGUGCCAUUGGACCUUAAAUGACCACAGUGAGUCAGGACUUCGGUUUAACGUCUCAUCCAAAGGACGGCAUCUCCUACAGCACAGUGUCCCUAUCACUGCAUUGGGGCAUUCGGAGUAAUUAGGACCAGAGGGAAGACUGCCCUCUACUGGCCCACCAACACCACUAAUCCACACAGCAGCUCCUGGCGUCUGAGGUGUAGUCACUGCAGAUUUUGGUCUCAUCCAUGAUGUGUUCAUGGAUCUUUGCUGAAUGUUUUCAAAACUAU